CAUGUCGAACGAACAUAUUAUCUGUCAGCAUUUAUAAAAUUACACCGAAACUUCAUCUUUCCAUCACAGCUGCUAUGAUUUUUAUUUUAUACUGUACGAGUUUACUCCACUUUCGUGGAUCUCAACUGAUAUUAUUUUUCUAACAAUUAUAAACAUCGAACUGUUUGUUUACCAAAUAGGAAAAACAAACUAGUGAGAAGCACCGAGAGUUCAACAAAGCCAACAACUGCUUCAUGUGUGCCACUGAUAAAGAACCUGGAUGUGGCCCAAAGACUGACUGGAUUGAAUGUUUUGCAUGCCAAUGGUGGUUCCAUGUGCUGUGCCUAGGAAUGAAGACAAAAGAGUUCAACAGAGUGAAGAACACAAACUGGAAGUGCAGUCUUUGUUGUUGAAAAUGUAUGCUGUACCCCAUCCACACUGAAGAGGCUCUGACAUGUACAUCAACCAGGGAUAAAGAGAAAGUUAACACUGUGAAAUGUUUCAUACUUAUUUCAAGUUAAGUGUCUGUUGACAUGUUGGAAAAUAUUAAAGGUAUAC